rnacentral:lncRNA from 1 species
UAAGGUUUCAAGAGGAGCAGCAACAACAACAAUAGACUUAGUCACAUUACUACUCCAUAAGAACCUUGAGAAUGAGAACGUCAUCGCCAGUCUUUUUGAUGUUAUCAAAUAAUACAUUCUUCUAGUCAAUGAAGUCUUUAUUUGCGCACAUGAUGUAUAGUCAUGUUGUGUACAUAAAUCAUGAAGAAUCCUCGUUUUUUUAACAUUUUCUCGUUGUUUUUGACGUUUGAUCGUUUUUCUGUUGUUUUUUUUUUAAAUUUAUCAUGAGCCACACUUACGAAAAAUAUCGGAGACAACAAUCCUUGUGCUCCCUUUUAAUAAGUCAGGUUGUCUUUCAAAUCAUUUUUUUUCUGUUUAAAUGUUUUAAAUACUGAUAUAUCAACAUAAUCUACUACACUCUCGGUAAGUGUAUGAUUAAAACAUCAUUUUAUUUUAUAUAAAAAAAUGCAACGGGCUGUCCCUUUUCUGAAUCUUUUAAUUUUCGUUAUAUCUAUUUUUGUGGAUUUUUUUUGGUCAUGUAAGCAUGAGAUUGGAAAUAGUAUAUGCCUAUAUAAUUAAUUUGUAUAUAGUUACAUACACCCAUUCUCUACUCUAUUCAUAAUACUAAGUACAAAACGCAUUUCCCCCCUCUCAUGAGUAAUAAAGACCCUUUCAUUCAAACAAAUAUAUAUUAUACAAACGACACUAUUGACGACUAAUACCCCCACCCCUUACUUUACUUUUUGUAAUUUUUUUUCAAAAUUUAUGUUAUCAACUUUUCUUGAUCGUUUCUCGCAAAUUGACGGCAAAAAACAAAAACUUUCACAGAAAUUGUAAUGGGAGUUGGUACGUCGUUGAUUCUUAAUUUAAAAUGAAUGAAAUGUUCCCUUUUUUAUUCUACAAAUAUGCUUAUUUGUGACGAAGAAUUAUUACAUCCCUUUAUUUAAAUGGAUGUUCUAUUCCAGCAACUUAAAUUAACAAAUCCCUCUAUAUUCUCCACACAAGGCAUACAUUUUAUGUAUAUGUCUGAGGAUAACAAUUGUUGUGAUUUCUCCCCUUCAAGACUGUAUAAUUUGUAUGUAUUGAUGAUUUUUUUUAAUGAAUGAAUUGAAGUAAGUUUAGAUCGGAUUUUUUUUUUUUUUUUUUUUUUUUUUGUAAAAAAACUCCUCUGUGUCUUUCUCUCUCUCUUUUAUUGUCUAUAUUACAUUCAAACACAAUAUUGUAGAAGAAGUAGACGGAAUGAUAGAAAGAAAUUCAAACGCAAUAUUUUUAUUUUUUUAUAUAUUUAACUUGAUUUCUUGACUAUAUAUUUUUUUUUUACCAGAGCCGAUCAAACACUUUAAUAACCAUUUAUAUUAUUAUGUCCCAAUGUUUUUGUGAUAAUUGAUCUCUCUUCUCAAAUCUUUAUUAAUUGAACAAGUACAAUAUCAAGUGAUCAAUUCUUGCUUUACAAAGAACGAAUGAAAGAAAACAUAGAAUAGAUUGUCCGCAUCUUCCUCACAAAUUAUACAGGAGAAAAUUUAAUUUCUCCAUAAUAAGCUGUAGCUAAGAAUCGCGGAUAGUCUUCUCCAUACAUGUACAAUGAUAAACGUUUAUCAGGUAUUUGAUUUUGUAUUUAUCAAUAUUCUUAACUAUGAAAAGAAAUUCUCGCAAAUGCCUUUUCUCUCUUCUCUUCAUUUAAAUGAAUGCAAUGUGAUACAGUUAAUAUAUUUUUUUUUCUGAAGAGAAAUCUAAUACGUAAUUAUUAUAUAUAUAAGUAUAUAUAUUUAUAUUUUUUUUUUCCAUGAUAAAACUGUUAGCUUUAUUUAUUUGUCUAACAUUUUAUCAUAACUGCUAAGUAUUACACCAAAUAUGUAAGAUUACGUUAUAUAUAUUUUGUGAUAUUUUCUUCCCUUACCUUCCCCUCUCCUUAAUUUUACUUUAUGUUCGGAACCUUUGAGUUAUAUACUUACAUUAAUCCAUCAAUUAAUUAAUCUGCUUAUUAGAGUGCAAUAGAUUUAUGUUACACACAAAAUAUUAUAUAUACUCUCUUGUAUAUUCUUUGUUGAGUUCUUUUAAAAUUGACUUAUAAAAAUUGUUUUUGUAUAAUUUUUUUUAACCCACCAAAAUUCUGAUUGUGAUUAAAUAUUUUGUUAUUCAAUUAACGGACCCGAGACCUUUCUCCUAUGUGAGCCUGUGUCUCUCUAAAUGACUUGAUCGAACUUUUAUAAAAUACUCAAUAUGAUUUCCCUACCUCCCAAACCUUUCAUAAUCCCUUUUAUUUUUUCCCUACCCCGGAUUCCUUUAGGAAUCCACCACAAUUUCCAACUAGAGGUAUUAUUAAGCUUGGUAAUAUGAGUUAUUGGAAUGUUCCUUUAAUGAGAUAUAUAACAAUGGCUGCUUGUGUAAGAGCCGGAUCUUUUUUUCUUAUAGAAGUACAAUCCUAGGAGGCCAAGAAGGAUAAUCAUGAUGACUGCAAUCGUGAUUCCAGCUAUAGCCCCUCCACCUAGAGCCACGUCUGUAAGAAAAGUAUGUUGUUAGAGUAAUGGACGGGUUUAUUUUAUUUCAAAUUAAUGGUGACGCCACAUAUUAUAUGCACACAUAUAAUGUAAGUUGCUGUCAUACCUGGCUUUGAUACUCUGACUUGUUUACUUCCGCUUCCAAGAUCGUUAUUUACAUUGAUUGCUAUUUCCUUGUUUAUAUCUUUAUGGUCUAAGUUUUGUAUGGUUAAAAUGGCAAUGUAGUCGUUGUUGUCCUUUGAAAAAUAAAUUUAAAACAUCUAUUAGAACACCAUA